UACGGAGGGGGCUAGCGUUGCUCGGAAUCACUGGGCGUAAAGCGCACGUAGGCGGAUUGCUAAGUCAGGGGUGAAAUCCUGGAGCUCAACUCCAGAACUGCCUUUGAUACUGGCGAUCUCGAGUCCGGGAGAGGUGAGUGGAACUGCGAGUGUAGAGGUGAAAUUCGUAGAUAUUCGCAAGAACACCAGUGGCGAAGGCGGCUCACUGGCCCGGUACUGACGCUGAGGUGCGAAAGCGUGGGGAGCAAACAGG
rnacentral:rRNA from 1 species